AAGGGUAUAGCUCAGUGGUAGAGUGCAUGCUUAGCAUGCACGAGGUCCUGGGUUCAAUCCCCAGUACCUCUA
rnacentral:tRNA from 1 species